rnacentral:rRNA from 1 species
AACGCGAAGAACCUUACCCGGGUUUGAAUUGCAGUGGUUGUAGUCGGCAGAGAUGUCGGCGACCCCGCAAGGGGACUACUGUGAAGGUGCUGCAUGGCUGUCGUCAGCUCGUGCCGUGAGGUGUUGGGUUAAGUCCCGCAACGAGCGCAACCCUUGUCCUUAGUUGCCAGCGCGUAAUGGCGGGCACUCUGUGGAGACUGCCGUCAUAAGACGGAGGAAGGUGGGGAUGACGUCAAGUCAGCAUGGCCCUUACGUCCGGGGCUACACACGUGCUACAAUGGCCGGUACAACGGGCAGCGAGACCGCGAGGUGGAGCGAAUCCCUUUAAAGCCGGCCUCAGUUCGGAUUGCAGGCUGCAACUCGCCUGCAUGAAGUUGGAAUCACUAGUAACUGCAGAUCAGCUACGCUGCGGUGAAUGCGUUCCCGGGCCUUGUA